GGGUAACCAACCCUUUGGAAAGGAAUAGCCUCGGGAAACUGGGAGUAAUGCCUUAUAAGAUACGUUUGUCGCAUGGCAUUUGUAUUAAACGCUCCGGCGCCAUAGGAUGGACCCGCGUCCCAUUAGCUAGUUGGUGAGAUAACAGCUCACCAAGGCCACGAUGGGUAACCGGUCUGAGAGGGCGAACGGUCACACUGGAACUGAGACACGGUCCAGACUCCUACGGGAGGCAGCAGUGGGGAAUAUUGCGCAAUGGGGGCAACCCUGACGCAGCAAUACCGCGUGAGUGAAGAAGGUUUUCGGAUCGUAAAGCUCUGUUAUUGGGGAAGAAAAAAAGACGGUACCCAAGAAGAAAGUUCCGGCUAACUACGUGCCAGCAGCCGCGGUAAUACGUAGGGAACAAGCGUUGUCCGGAUUUACUGGGCGUAAAGGGCACGCAGGCGGUUUUUUAAGUCAGAUGUGAAAGGCCACAGCUCAACUGUGGACAUGCAUUUGAAACUGAAAGACUUGAGUAUUGGAGAGGCAAGUGGAAUUCCUAGUGUAGCGGUGAAAUGCAUAGAUAUUAGGAGGAACACCGGUGGCGAAGGCGGCUUGCUGGACAAAUACUGAC
rnacentral:rRNA from 1 species